CGGUGCGUGUGAUGAGAGUGCUCUACACGACUGUGACUUACAAAACUUCGUAGCUUUAUUGGUUACUUUUUUUUUCUUCUUUUUUUUUAUUCUUCUCUCUUUCUUCUUUUUUUCUUCUUUAUGCGUGUGUUUCUCUUGGUCAUUCCUUCUGACUGCUCGCUUUUCCCGCAGAUCAUCGAUGGAAUUCCUAAUCUGAUACCCCUGGACGGACGAAUUAUGGAAGAGACUGAGGAUAUCUCUCGCUCGGCUCGAGCACCGCAGGCUUCCGAGUAAAGUUUCUAGAUUCCUGGCUUGUUAGAAUGUCCACCAGGUGAAGGUCCCCGGUGUGGGUUGGGAUAGUCAGUAUGGAAGACUUGCUCAUCAAAGCUGCCUUCUUCGGAAAUCCAGCGAGACGAGUGAUAUAGCUGCAAACAGUUGAAAUUCAAACGAACUGUCAGGUGAUUUCCCUCUUUUCUUCUUUUUUUCUCUAAAGCUUGCUACUGAAGAAACACGGUUUGAGAAGAAGAGAGUUAUCAGACCUUUCCAGGAGGAGCGGGUUCUCCAUCAUGCAAGACGACUAGAAGCAGCUUACGCGGUGCUACUGGAUUGGAUGCUGAAAGUUCAAAUCUGUUAGUAGCGGAAAGAACGACCUUCUUUCAGCACAACAAACCUGCAGCAGGAGAGAUUUGGAGCAAGGAUAGGAGGAGAAGAACCAGGAAGACUGCUACUGCAACAGGAGCUCUCGCCAUUUAUCUCCUU
rnacentral:lncRNA from 1 species